GUAUAUAUAUUGCAAAUUUUUUUUUUGCUUUUGUUGUUGCAUGUGGUAGAGUUGUUCAAAGCUUAGGAAAUGAAUGUUUUUUUCACUAACUGAGCCUUCACAUGUUGUCUCUGACAAAUCUUACUGUCGAUUAUAUAGCCAAACAAUAAAAAGCUUCUAAAACUUGCAAAUCAGAAAGGAAGCUGGACAUUCAAAUGUUGCUUCUGAAUAUAGUACUCUUCAUGCAUUGGUGAGAAUGUUUUCUAUUGAAAGCGGUUUUUGAUAGUAGUCACUGUUUAUAGGAGUUUGAAGAGUGUAUUCAUCUGCAUUUCUCUCUUCCAGGAACCAUGAAAAACAAAGUGUAAUCAUGUAGUAAGUUGGCACUUGUGGAUUGCUGCAUUAAUACACUUUUCAGCCUCCGCAGAGAUGUGGCAGAGAUUGUCCUUCAUUUUUUCCCUGAUUAUUUUGGUGUCUGUCACAAUCUGUCCUCCCUGUUUGUGUGUCCUGACUGUUACCAUUAUGAAAUUGAUUAAUAGAAAUAGCUGGUAGGAGUAAAUAAUCUUAGAACGAAUAGCUUAAGUGUACUUUUUGGUCUGUGACAGAAAGCAUAAUUAUAUUUAAUUUGCUAAUAUCCAUCUCUGUAAUCAAGCCAAUUUGUAUAGUUCAAAGUUAUGAAAAUGGUGUAGUGUGCAUGUCGCAAGUACUUUGCUUCUCAAAAUUUGAAAGCAACUGAGUAGUUACAGGAAAGCUUUAAAUUAUCCAGUAUGUUUUUGUCCAUAUCAAGUCAUUUCCUGUACUCAUCCUUUCAGAAGGUCUGGUGCUCUGCAACAAUCUGAACAGGAAGUGUGCUGUCCAUCAUGGCACUGCAGUGUUUCCACUCAUUUUCCUGACCUGCAAAUAAAACCUACUCUGAACAAUGUUGGGGGCGAUAUUGAAUGCAGUACUGUAGGCUUACAUGUGUUAUUUUGUCAAAGAAGGAUUGGGAAGUGAGUCAGACUUUAUUCAGAACUUGGAUACUAAAUUUAUCAGCGUUGAGCUAAUUUGGCAUUAUACAGCAGCUGAAAUAUAGUCCACAUUGAAAUUCGUUUAGAUUCAGUUUCAAGUUGUGUUUUUCUCUGAAAGAAAAAACAAAUUAAGUGGUACAGAUAAUUGGGUUUCUGCUUAAUAAUAAAUGAACAAACAAACCCCAUAUGCUGUGUGUGCUGACAGUCAGUGAAGAAAAGAGCUGUGAGCAUUGUAUGCUGUCUAACAGAAAUGAAUUGGAAAGUGUUUCAGGAGCAGUGCUGUGUGCUAAAGAAAACUGUGAGCAGGAGCCUGGGGGAGGGGAAAGAGAAGUUUAAAAAAAAGUCUAAUUCAAAUGAGUUGGUGUUUCCAGAACACAAAAAGACUGAAUGGGCAGUCUGGCUGGAACAGUGAGCAGCAGCGCUAGCCCAAACUGUCCGUAUAUUAUUUUCUGUCUGGAUGGAGCGAACUCUGUCUUCAAAUGACUGACUUCGUUUAGAGAGAGUCUCUUUUUGUUUCAGUGCAGACACUGGAAUCCUCUUUGUCAUGAAGUUUUAACACAUUGGGUAGAGCGAUUGGUAUUUUAAUGUGAAGAACGGCUUUUCACAAGCCUCCCUGUGGUGGAGUAGCUCGCCUGGCUGCUGUGCUCUUCUGAGCUGCAGAAAGAAUGCAGUGCAAUCAGCUUAACAAGAGGAAGCUCUUUUUUUUUCUGUUCUGAAUAAAGUUCUUGCACAGCCCGUGCUUCACGAGAGAAUUUCUAUCAUCAUGGCCUCCAUAGAGCUGUCAGUAGACGCAAGUUACGUUUUUCAGUUCAGGGUGCUUAGUCUUCUAGGACAUUCUGCUUGAAAAACAGCACUCUUCAGUUUUAAGGAGCCCCUGGGGGCCAUUGCAGGAUCUAGAAGUUACUAGAACAUGAAUCCUACUGUGUACACACUUCUAUCAGGCAUCUUGCUAUCAGGCUGGAAUAUGUGGAAGUAGUAUACAGACAACCUUAACUCACCCUUGAUGAGGAGAGCUACUAUGCCAAGGAUGUUUCCUCAAGGGGCAACAUGGAUGAUGCAAGUUCUCUUCAUACAUAA